ACUCUUACGGGAGGCAGCAGUGGGGAAUCCUGCACAAUGGGGGAAACCAAGAAGCCGCAACGCCGGUAAAGCAAUGAUGUCCUUCGGAAGUAAUUUCUUUCUACCCUGACGAAAUGACGUAC
rnacentral:rRNA from 1 species